rnacentral:rRNA from 1 species
ACCGGCGCACGGGUGCGUAACGCGUAUGCAAUCUACCUUGUACAGGGGGAUAGCCCAGAGAAAUUUGGAUUAAUACCCCAUAGUGUAACGAAAAGGCAUCUUUUUGUUACUAAAGUUCCAACGGUACAAGAUGAGCAUGCGUCCCAUUAGCUAGUUGGUGUGGUAACGGCACACCAAGGCAACGAUGGGUAGGGGUCCUGAGAGGGAGAUCCCCCACACUGGUACUGAGACACGGACCAGACUCCUACGGGAGGCAGCAGUGAGGAAUAUUGGUCAAUGGGCGCAAGCCUGAACCAGCCAUGCCGCGUGCAGGAUGACGGUCCUAUGGAUUGUAAACUGCUUUUGUACAGGAAGAAACACUCCCUCGUGAGGGAACUUGACGGUACUGUAAGAAUAAGGAUCGGCUAACUCCGUGCCAGCAGCCGCGGUAAUACGGAGGAUCCAAGCGUUAUCCGGAAUCAUUGGGUUUAAAGGGUCCGUAGGCGGUUUUAUAAGUCAGUGGUGAAAUCUGGUCGCUCAACGAUCAAACGGCCAUUGAUACUGUAGAACUUGAAUUACUUGGAAGUAACUAGAAUAUGUAGUGUAGCGGUGAAAUGCUUAGAGAUUACAUGGAAUACCAAUUGCGAAGGCAGGUUACUACGAGUACAUUGACGCUGAUGGACGAAAGCGUGGGGAGCGAACAGGAUUAGAUACCCUGGUA